rnacentral:rRNA from 1 species
AGCGAACGCUGGCGGUAGGCCUAACACAUGCAAGUCGAACGGCAGCACAGUAAGAGCUUGCCCUCACGGGUGGCGAGUGGCGGACGGGUGAGGAAUACAUCGGAAUCUACUUUUUCGUGGGGGAUAACGUAGGGAAACUUACGCUAAUACCGCAUACGCCCUACGGGUGAAAGCAGGGGAUCUUCGGACUUUGCGCGAUUGAAUGAGCCGAUGUCGGAUUAGCUAGUUGGCGGGGUAAAGGCCCACCAAGGCGACGAUCCGUAGCUGGUCUGAGAGGAUGAUCAGCCACACUGGAAGUGAGACACGGUCCAGACUCCUACGGGAGGCAGCAGUGGGGAAUAUUGGGCAAUGGGCGCAAGCCUGAUCCAGCCAUACCGCGUGGGUGAAGAAGGCCUUCGGGUUGUAAAGCCCUUUUGUUGGGAAAGAAAAGCAGCAGGUUAAUACCCCGCUGUUCUGACGGUACCCAAAGAAUAAGCACCGGCUAACUUCGUG